GAACAUCACAGCUGGUUGUCUGCUCUGAAGUAUAACACUAAAAUAAUUACUUCACCAUGACUUAAAGACCAACCCACUCGACGGACGUGAGAGCAGACACAUGUUAACCUCUCCCGCCUGACUCACCUUCUGUUGAAAUCCCCCUGCUGUGACAUCACUUCUGAUCAACCAAUCAAGCGCAGAUAGAAUGCUGCCAGCAGAGACUUACCACAGAGGAGGAAGCGUCGUUCUGUGGAAUGAAGGGGUACUUUGGCGUGAGUGCCGCAGUGCUGGGACCACAGGGGAAUGGCCCCCAGGAGGUGGGUCUGUGAAGCCGUUUGGCCAACUGCUGCUUAAAGAUGGAAAUGUGUGACAUAAAAUCCAGCCAAUCGGCAUCCUCAAUGGGAUUCAGCUACGGGCCGAAGUGGUUUAGCCCGUAGCUCGCGUGUCCUCGUCAGGGGGCGAGUGCAAGCAAAAGAACAAACCCACCUCAGUAACAUCUCACCCCCAAGAGCCAUUUGAGAGCCGAACUUUGGCGAAAAAACUCCCGGUAAAAGAGCUGAAGAUCAACCAGAGUUCACAAUGAGACAGCUGACUGGCGGUGAAAGAGAAGCCAUGCAAAGCUUCCGUACUGAAUUAGCUGUG
ensembl:lncRNA